AAAUCCCAACGGCUCCGGUCGCCUGAAUGGAGCCUCGCUCCCUAUGUCCCGCCCUCCACAGAUCUAAGCCCACCCACUGCCGCUAUGGCGGCCUUCCCGCGGGUCGCGGCGCACUGCGGGUAUGAGUCCAUCGCCUGCAGGGCCUCGCCUUGCGGACGGCCCCUACCUCGCCCCAGGAUCCCUGUCAGGCGCCACAUGUCGUGGCCAGCACCAUAGAGCCUGCAGCCGAGGGAUCGAGGCCCAAAGGACGGGACAGGGACCAGAGUGGCCGCUGCGCAGUCCCCAGCGGCCGAGUCCCCAGCCAGCCAAUCAGCAAGGAGCUCUGCCGGAAGGAUGACGCUCUAGGAAGGAAGUGGCCAUCGGAUGGGGCGGGCUUGGCGCUGGCGAGCCAGAAAAAGGGGGAAAGCGACACCAAGAAUCCAUUCCAAACGAAAAACCAAGAGGAGACGCGGCAGCUCCCAGAUGUUGAUGUUUUGUUUUUUUGACAUAAAUCUUCGCACUCAUAUGGGAGUUUUCAUUGAUUCAUGUUCCCAUCUGCUGAAUUUCCUUUUAUUUAUUUAAUAUUGCUUUUUGGGGAAAUCUUGCUUCGAAGCUCUGGAGAAGCAUAAACCGUGCCAGCCACUGCAGCCCUCCUCCCUCUUGCAAGCCUUGGCUGCUGGGGGCAGGGAGAUGCGGUGGCGUCCUGCAGAGUGGGUGCUGGGCAUCCUCGAGGAGGGGCUGGCGCUGCAAGCCUGCACUAAUGUGGCGAUUCUGUCUCUUCCGAGCCUUCCAGAGGCAGCGGGAGAGGUAGAGUGAGGAAGAGGGGAAGAGAGAGGCAGACUGGCUGACUGUUCCUCAUGCUUUCUGCUCAUCCCCAACACUUCAUACGUCCCUUUUGCACUAAAGUACACUUUGCUUUUGACACCUUGGAUAGUAGGAAACGUUUAACAGUGGGCAUCUAUAUUAAUAAGAUUGUGCCUCUCCCCGUCCAACCAGUACCCUUCCACCUCAAUAGUGAUCCGUCAGUAAUUACAAACUCUAACUCUGGAGUCAGACUAAAAUCUUGUCGACUUUCCAGAGGGAAUUCUUGAACAAAUUUACUUUUUAAGAGCUUUGGGUUUCCU
rnacentral:lncRNA from 1 species